GACAGAGGGUGCAAACGUUGCUCGGAAUUACUGGGCGUAAAGCGCGUGUAGGCGGUUCCGCAAGUCAGGUGUGAAAGCCCAGGGCUCAACCCUGGAAGUGCACUUGAUACUACGGAGCUUGAGUACUGAAGAGGAGAGCGGAAUUCCCGGUGUAGAGGUGAAAUUCGUAGAUAUCGGGAGGAACACCAGUGGCGAAGGCGGCUCUCUGGGCAGUAGCUGACACUGAGGCGCGACAGCGUGGGGAGCAAACAGG
rnacentral:rRNA from 1 species